GGUGGCUCAGUGGUAGAGUGCUUGCCUAGCAUGCAUGAAGCCCUAGGUUCGAUUCCUGAGCGCCA
rnacentral:tRNA from 1 species